UUGGCAGUGCUUACAGUUUUUCUUCUGGUUACACUAACAUCAGCCUUUCCAGAAGGACAAUUAAUAACAGCAGCAUUAUAGAUUAGUUCUGCCGCAACAGAGGACAACCAAGGGAUUCUAUUCAUCACAGGAGUCUCACAAGUGGUUAUUUUUUGGAGACUGUCGUGCCUAAAUGCGAGAGCACCUACUGCAAAUUGACCAUGGAGAAUUAAGACUGCAAAGAAAAGGAAAAGAGCAAUGAUGGCAAUGGACAAGCUAGAUGCUAGUGCCACCAAGAUAACGACAAUGACAAACACCGGUGGUCGGUUUCCAGGCUCAGCUGGCGAGGAUAUAUAAUAUUCUGCCGACCAACCUUCCCCUCCCUCCAUCUGAGUGGUGAAUGCUAUUACGACCUCACCAAUCAAGUUAAUAUGUGGGAGAUCAGCAGCAGGAUAAGAUCCUGCAAAGUUGGCCAUCUGAUGAGUGGAGUCACUGAAAAUGGCAAUGAAAUCCAAAUCUCGAGUGACAAAAAUGCGUGUGAAGUUCAAGGAAACUCGAGUUCCUGGUUUUCCAUGGAGGACCCAUCUGCAAUUGAUGCCUUGUACAUAGGAUGAAGUUCCAACCAAACCAAAUCAUAUGAUUCCAGAACGGGUGUAAACAUCUUCCUUCCCGUUGCAAAGUCCUGAAAAUUUUGGAUUAUUUCAGGUACAUUUUCCAGGAAGAAAGAAGAUGAAAUCAUAAUUAAAGAGGGUGAAUUGGAUCUGCUUUACCUGCCAUGAACUUACUUGUAAGAGCCUCGAGCACUGGUCGCCUUCUUUGCGCGGGGCCCAAGUCCAGGCCAUAGUAAUCACCUCUUCUACAGAGAUAUUGACCAGUAAAUGGCCGCUGCAUGGAUCAGUGAAUUCGUCCGGAUCUUUUCCCUGAACAAAGAUCACACAAUCAGAGAAGAGUGCAAGGUAAAUGCCGUUCUCACUCGCUUCGAAGGCAUGAGUGCAACUCAAGCUCCCGUUAGGCCCAUCAAUGGCAGUGCCAUCAAAAACCGCUUGUCCGAUCUCGAUCACCCGUUCUCGUGUCAUGUUCUGAGAAAAUCCCCAUGUAAGAGCAUUUGGAGCCCACACUCAACGUGUCCGUGACCGGAGAGUAGGAGUUGUCUCUGUACUGCCUGACCAUAUCCCUCCAGUUUCCUAGUGUUGGUACUUCAUACUUCUGAACUGACGAGUAUCUGGAGGAAGUUAGAGAAUUAAUGGCAUUUAUUAUGAUUGCUUGAUCAGAUUCUCGCCAUUGAGGACCAAACCACAAAAGAGAGACAGCGACUGGUUCUGUCAUGAUCUUGCCUCCACUAUAAGAGAGGCCAUAGAAGCUAUCAUCUUGAGAUAGACAAGGAAACUUGGGUAGCAGUUAGGAAAGUAGGGUAACUAUGAAAAUGCCCACCAUUUGUUAGGCUAUGUACUUACAGUAGAAGUUAACUGAGUUUGAGAAGAUGAAUGUGU